rnacentral:rRNA from 1 species
UACGUAGGUGGCAAGCGUUGUUCGGAAUUAUUGGGCGUAAAGAGCUCGUAGGCGGUUUGUCGCGUCUGCCGUGAAAGUCCGGGGGCUCAACUCCGGAUCUGCGGUGGGUACGGGCAGACUAGAGUGAUGUAGGGGGAGACUGGAAUUCCUGGUGUAGCGGUGAAAUGCGCAGAUAUCAGGAGGAACACCGAUGGCGAAGGCAGGUCUCUGGGCAUUAACUGACGCUGAGGAGCGAAAGCAUGGGGAGCGAACAGG